UGCGUGUCGAAAAAGGGCCACUGAAACUUGAUACUGCACGCAAACUGUCAAAAACUUACCGAUCAGUUGUUGAUGCUGCGGGUUGUUCCGUGUUUCGCGUCGAAUUACGGAACGUUGUCCGAAGAGUUCUAUCGAUGGCAGUGUGGACAUUACCCAAGGAAUAGGUCACCGAGCAAUCCAGCCUUCGUUUGGAUGUCGAUUACAGCUACUCCCGGCGAAUCAUCGGCAUUUUCGAAAAUUCGUUUUCAAUCCUCCGGCCGGAAGCAACCGAAUCAGGAACAAUGAAAACCGCACCAGGGUGCUCACAGUGCAUUCCCCCUGAAACACCGGAACAUAAAAAAGCACGGAGCCAAACUUUUCCCUAUCCAGCUGGACCUCAGGCAGGAUACAGGCAAAGGGCUCGUAAAACGGCUGGGCCUGUUGCCACUAGCACCACUGCUGUCCUCAAAAAGGCCGAGCCAGGAUGUUUCUUUGGAA